rnacentral:rRNA from 1 species
GAUGAACGCUGGCGGCGUGCCUAAUACAUGCAAGUCGAGCGAACAGACGAGGAGCUUGCUCCUCUGACGUUAGCGGCGGACGGGUGAGUAACACGUGGAUAACCUACCUAUAAGACUGGGAUAACUUCGGGAAACCGGAGCUAAUACCGGAUAAUAUAUUGAACCGCAUGGUUCAAUAGUGAAAGACGGUUUUGCUGUCACUUCUAGAUGGUUCCGAGCCGCAUUAGCUAGUUGGUAAGGUAACGGCUUACCAAGGCGACGAGGCGUAGCCGACCUGAGAGAGUGAUAGGCCACACUGGAGCUGAGACGCGGUCCAGACUCCUACGGGAGGCAGCAGUAGGGAAUCUUAGGCAGUGGGCGAAAGCCUGACGGAGCAACGCCGCGUGAGUGGUGGAGGUCUUCGGAUCGGAAAACUCUGUUAUUAGGGAAGAACAAAUGUGUAAGUAACUAUGCACGGCUUGACGGUACCUGAUCAGAAAGCCACGGCUAACUACGUG